AUGUUCAGAGUUACAGAUGCUUCUGCAAAUCCACUGCAUUCAGCCAGACAUGAGUUUAUGCAUUUUACAUGAGUUGUGUUACAUUUCAGUAGUCUGUGCUGCAGUGCUGCAAUGAACUCUGGACAGAGAACCUCUGCUGAACCAGGGCUCAUCAUUUUGCAGGAGCAAGCGUGUUUACAGCUACCAAUAAACAAGCUCUACAACAUUUUGUGCAAACCUUAAGACAAAUAUGCAAACAUUAAAAUAAACAACCAUGCAAGGCCGGAGAGAUGUGUUUCUCAACUACUGAAGAUCCUUCAAAAUUAACCAGAAAAAGAAGAAAGGAAAGAGAAGAUGGAUAAAUAAAGUGACAGGGAAAGCAGUUCCUUUCCUUUGCCUUGCAUUUCCCUAUUUACAGCACUCUUUUGUACCAUGGAGACUGGAUAGAGAGCAGAUUCAUAACCUCUCCUGAAGCUCCUCAUGCAGUCUGGCUUCCCAAAAUCCCUUGCCAUCUCAGUGCAUAGAUGGCACAGCACACUGUUUACUUCCUCCAGCUUUUUGAAUAACAAGCUACAGUUCCUUAUGAAAAUGAGAGGUGAGAUAAUACACACAAAACAAUUUUUUUACAUGACUCAAAGGCCAAAAUAGCCACAAGUCUUUCACUACCUUCUUUGCUGACUACAUUUUAUUGUCCAUGGCAGCACAAUAACUAAGGAGCCAUGUCAGGUUGAUUCCAUGGGAUGACAAAUAGAGCUCCCAGGACUAAGACUGUUCAGAAGAGUUUCCUUCUCAUAUUUUGAUGUACUUUUUUUUGUGCGUGUGUGUUUGCCUCUUUAAAUAGAUUGCUGCUGUUUCUCAUCAUCUAAAUCUAGUUAUUCAUUAUUAAUGGAGAACAACUUGGCAAUUACAGAAUAUAUAAUAAAUCAUUUAAAUACAAAUAAAUGGGUAAUAUACCCCAGUUGUCACUGGAUUUAAAUAUGGCUGUCAACUUUCUUACUGAGCCCUUAACUACAGACUUCCUCUACAAAGUGUUUUUGAAAUAUUACUGUUACACACAGCUGUAUCUAUCUCCUUCUAUUGGUCCUUAACCCACUUAAAUGUGUUGUGUUAUGGAAAAGCACAAAAAGAAAUCGCCCAGGCCAAAUACACUAAGCAAACACAAAAGUCUAUCUGGACUUUUUCUAAAUUCCAAAGUGAAUUUUACUUCAAUCAAAAUAGAUUUUACUCCCUCAGUCCUUCCCACUCAAAGUUUGCAACCUUUCUUCUCUCUGAGCUCAUCUGCACAUGUAUUUUUCAAAACACAUUUGAUCUGCAAACACGUUUACACAAACAUUUUACCUCUAUUCAUCUCUAGUUGUUCACUUCUAUUGACUUACAACAGGACUAAGAUCAGGAAGCACUUACAAAUACUCCUUGUCAAAUAAUCUCUUCCUGUCUGACAACUUUAAUACAGCAGAUUUAUCUAAAGCACUUAAAGAAUUUGUUUUCUCCUUUGUCAUGUAAACACUUAAGCUUUUUAUAGGAAAUACACACACAAGAAUAUCUUGCACUUUCACCUGCAGUGGAGGUGGAUCACUUGAUUGAGGAUACUGUGUUUACUCACUAAUUCAGGUUGUGAAGACAGAGGAACGAAAUGGCAAAGUCUGUGUGUAUAACAGUUAAUUAUCAUUCAGAAAAAAAUCAGUUUCACUCAGAAGACUGGUAUGAUAAAAGAAAUGCAACAAGGAAUAAAAGUCUUUGGAAAUAAGGUGAGGGUUUUUUUGGUGUGAAUACACGGGAAAACAAGCUACAGUUUAAAUCCUGGAUUUGGCACUCGUGUCUCUCUGUGUAUGUCAUAUUUGUGUCCUUCAUUUUUUAUUUUUAUUUUUUAAAUGAAAUUGGUUUAUCUUGUCAUCUUGGCAUGAGUCAAACAGAGAAAUUACUUUUCUCCUCAGAAAUAACACCUUAACCUACAAUACUCUCUAAUUACAUUACAGCCUGGAUCAAG